GGGCCUGUAGUUUAUGCAGUAAAACCCUACCCUUGACAAGUAGCAAAGCGAGUGCAAGUCUCGCCGGGUCCA
rnacentral:tRNA from 1 species